GGAAUUGGAGAGGAGAGAGAAAGCCAAUAAGAAGACGGCGAAUCCAGCUGCCGCUAUUCCCCACUUCCAUUUUCUCCACCAUAUUCGCCGGCUUACCAUUAAAACCCCAUUAUCAAGAUUCAGCGCCAUUCCACUCCACCACUGCUGUGGUGAACUAAUAAAUCAAAUCCUGUUGUUACUUCAGGGGUGUAAAAUUACUUAAUUCAUUCAUCCUCUGCGAGUUGGAAGUAGGAACAAAUAAGGGGAGAAUACUUUUCCUUUUUAUUUAGGGAUUUUGGCUGUGUUUGAUUAUAUAUUAAUU
rnacentral:lncRNA from 1 species